rnacentral:rRNA from 1 species
CCUACGGGAGGCAGCAGUGGGGAAUCUUGCGCAAUGGGCGAAAGCCUGACGCAGCAACGCCGCGUGCGGGAAGAAGGCCUUAGGGUUGUAAACCGCUUUCAGUAGGAACGAAAAUGACGGUACCUGCAGAAGAAGGUGCGGCCAACUACGUGCCAGCAGCCGCGGUGACACGUAGGCACCAAGCGUUGUCCGGAUUUAUUGGGCGUAAAGAGCUCGUAGGCGGUUCAGUAAGUCGGGUGUGAAAACUCUGGGCUUAACCCAGAGCCGCCACUCGAUACUGCUGUGACUUGAGUUCGGUAGGGGAGCAGGGAAUUCCUAGUGUAGCGGUGAAAUGCGCAGAUAUUAGGAGGAACACCGGUGGCGAAGGCGCUGCUCUGGGCCGAUACUGACGCUGAGGAGCGAAAGCGUGGGUAGCAAACAGGAUUAGAUACCCUGGUAGUCCACGCCGUAAACGUUGGGCACUAGGUGUGGGUUCCAACCAACGGAAUCCGCGCCGUCGCUAACGCAUUAAGUGCCCCGCCUGGGGAGUACGGCGGCAACGCUAAAACUCAAAGAGUAGUAGACGUCGNGAGACGCGACGACGACGACGACGGAGGAGAG